AGAGUUUGAUCCUGGCUCAGGAUUUCGAACGCUGGCGGCGUGCCUAAUACAUGCAAGUCGAGCGGACCGACGGCUUGCUCCCUUAGGUCAGCGGCGGACGGGUGAGUAGUAAAAGGGGACACGUGGGUAACCUGCCUGUAAGACUGGGAUAACUCCGGGAAACCGGGGCUAAUACCGGAUGCUUGAUUGAACCGCAUGGUUCAAUCAUAAAAGGUGGCUUUUAGCUACCACUUGCAGAUGGACCCGCGGCGCAUUAGCUAGUUGGUGAGGUAACGGCUCACCAAGGCGACGAUGCGUAGCCGACCUGAGAGGGUGAUCGGCCACACUGGGACUGAGACACGGCCCAGACUCCUACGGGAGGCAGCAGUAGGGAAUCUUCCGCAAUGGACGAAAGUCUGACGGAGCAACGCCGCGUGAGUGAUGAAGGUUUUCGGAUCGUAAAACUCUGUUGUUAGGGAAGAACAAGUACCGUUCGAAUAGGGCGGUACCUUGACGGUACCUAACCAGAAAGCCACGGCUAACUACGUGCCAGCAGCCGCGGUAAUACGUAGGUGGCAAGCGUUGUCCGGAAUUAUUGGGCGUAAAGCGCGCGCAGGCGGUUUCUUAAGUCUGAUGUGAAAGCCCCCGGCUCAACCGGGGAGGGUCAUUGGAAACUGGGGAACUUGAGUGCAGAAGAGGAGAGUGGAAUUCCACGUGUAGCGGUGAAAUGCGUAGAGAUGUGGAGGAACACCAGUGGCGAAGGCGACUCUCUGGUCUGUAACUGACGCUGAGGCGCGAAAGCGUGGGGAGCGAACAGGAUUAGAUACCCUGGUAGUCCACGCCGUAAACGAUGAGUGCUAAGUGUUAGAGGGUUUCCGCCCUUUAGUGCUGCAGCAAACGCAUUAAGCACUCCGCCUGGGGAGUACGGUCGCAAGACUGAAACUCAAAGGAAUUGACGGGGGCCCGCACAAGCGGUGGAGCAUGUGGUUUAAUUCGAAGCAACGCGAAGAACCUUACCAGGUCUUGACAUCCUCUGGCAACCCUAGAGAUAGGGCUUCCCCUUCGGGGGCAGAGUGACAGGUGGUGCAUGGUUGUCUGC
rnacentral:rRNA from 1 species